GCAUUAAACUUUAUUGUGCACUAAGAAUUUAUUUGUGCUCUUUUAGGUCUGAGCGAUUCAGAAUACAUGUAUUUCUGUAACGGGAAAGAUGAUUGAUGGACGACUUUACUUCAAGAGCUCGGAGCCCAGCGUUUCUAUGACUCUGGAUGUGCAGUCCUGGAGAUGCCUUGACGUGAUCUGUCCUAACAGUGAUUCUGAGGUGCAGAACCUGCUCCAGAGACUGCACCUCACGGACAGAAAAGAAGACUACGUCUUCUUGAAAUCAAGGAAGACGCGAGGAGGAAAGGUGCCGCAGUCCUGACGACGUGACUUACUGGGCCCGUGGGCUGGAGCUGACCAAGGGAGCGUGCCCCGAGCGCUUGUCCCACAGGCCACUGAGCCGUGUGCGCUUCAGUGCAAGGUGCCUGCCCUUCUACCAGCGUCGGUGGGCCAGGCGCUCCCAGGCUCUCAGGCUUUAGCUUUUGUGUUAAUGAUACAACAUGAGAUGAUGGUGGGCUUCCUACUUAUUGGACACUUACCGGGCAUUAAAAGUUAAACUAAAUGUGGUCUUUGGAAAGCAACAGGGU
rnacentral:lncRNA from 1 species